GACGAACGCUGGCGGCGUGCCUAAUACAUGCAAGUCGAACGAGAGCGACCGGUGCUUGCACUGGUCAAUCUAGUGGCGAACGGGUGAGUAACACGUGGGUAACCUGCCCAUCAGAGGGGGAUAACAUCCGGAAACGGAUGCUAACACCGCAUAGGUCUUCGAACCGCAUGGUUUGAAGAGGAAAAGAGGCGCAAGCUUCUGCUGAUGGAUGGACCCGCGGUGCAUUAGCUAGUUGGUGAGGUAACGGCUCACCAAGGCCGUGAUGCAUAGCCGACCGGAGAGGGGGAUCGGCCACAUUGGGACUGAGACACGGCCCAAACGCCUACGGGAGGCAGCAGUAGGGAAUCUUCCGCAAUGGACGCAAGUCUGACGGAGCAACGCCGCGUGAGUGAAGAAGGUGUUCGGAUCGUAAAACUCUGUUGUUAGAGAAGAACAAGUGCUAGAGUAACUGUUAGCGCCUUGACGGUAUCUAACCAGAAAGCCACGGCUAACUACGUG
rnacentral:rRNA from 1 species